rnacentral:rRNA from 1 species
CUACGGGACGCUGCAGUGGGGAAUAUUGCACAAUGGAGGAAACUCUGAUGCAGCAACGCCGCGUGGAGGAUGACACUUUUCGGAGCGUAAACUCCUUUUAUAUAGGAAGAAGAUGACGGUACUAUAUGAAUAAGCGCCGGCUAACUCCGUGCCGGCAGCCGCGGUAAUACGGAGGGGGCAAGCGUUACUCGGAAUCACUGGGCGUAAAGAGCGCGUAGGCGGAUUAAAAAGUCAGAAGUGAAAUCCUAUAGCUUAACUAUAGAACUGCUUCUGAAACUCUUAAUCUAGAAUGUGGGAGAGGUAGAUGGAAUUUCUGGUGUAGGGGUAAAAUCCGUAGAGAUCAGAAGGAAUACCGAUUGCGAAGGCGAUCUACUAGAACAUUAUUGACGCUGAGACGCGAAAGCGUGGGGAGCAAACAGGAUUAGAUACCCUAGUAGUC